CCUACGGGAGGCAGCAGUGAGGAAUAUUGGUCAAUGGCCGUAAGGCUGAACCAGCCAAGUAGCGUGAGGGAAGACUGCCCUAUGGGUUGUAAACCUCUUUUAUGCGGGGAUAAAGGUGUCCACGUGUGGAUGUUUGCAGGUACCGCAUGAAUAAGGACCGGCUAAUUCCGUGCCAGCAGCCGCGGUAAUACGGAAGGUCCGGGCGUUAUCCGGAUUUAUUGGGUUUAAGGGGGGCGUAGGCCGGUCUUUAAGCGUGCCGUGAAAUUUUGUGGCUCAACCAUGCAAGUGCGGCGCGAACUGGAGACAUUGAGUGCGCGGAAGGCAGGCGGAAUUCGUGGUGUAGCGGUGAAAUGCUUAGAUAUCACGAAGAACCCCGAUUGCGAAGGCAGCCUGCUGCAGCGUUACUGACGCGGAAGCUCGAAAGCGCGGGUAUCGAACAGGAUUAGAUACCCGAGUAGUC
rnacentral:rRNA from 1 species